rnacentral:rRNA from 1 species
AAGUCGGAUUAGCUAGUUGGUGGGGUAAAGGCCUACCAAGGCGACGAUCUGUAGCGGGUCUGAGAGGAUGAUCCGCCACACUGGGACUGAGACACGGCCCAGACUCCUACGGGAGGCAGCAGUGGGGAAUAUUGGACAAUGGGGGGAACCCUGAUCCAGCCAUGCCGCGUGUGUGAAGAAGGCCUUWUGGUUGUAAAGCACUUUAAGCGAGGAGGAGGCUMYYUURGUUAAUACCYARRRAKAGUGGACGUUACUCGCAGAAUAAGCACCGGCUAACUCUGUGCCAGCAGCCGCGGUAAUACAGAGGGUGCGAGCGUUAAUCGGAUUUACUGGGCGUAAAGCGUGCGUAGGYGGCYWWUUAAGUCRRAUGUGAAAUCCCCGAGCUUAACUUGGGAAUUGCAUUCGAUACUGGKWRGCUAGAGUAUGGGAGAGGAUGGUAGAAUUCCAGGUGUAGCGGUGAAAUGCGUAGAGAUCUGGAGGAAUACCGAUGGCGAAGGCAGCCAUCUGGCCUAAUACUGACRCUGAGGUACGAAAGCAUGGGGAGCAAACAGGAUUAGAUACCCUGGUAGUCCAUGCCGUAAACGAWRUSUACUAGCCGUUGGGGYCUUUGAG